UCCGGUUUGGCACCGGCAGUCCUCCCAGAGUCCUCGGCGUGACCCGGUAGCAACUGGGAGCGGGGGUUGCGCUCGUUGCGGGACUUAACCCAACAUCUCACGACACGAGCUGACGACAGCCAUGCAGCACCUGUGCAGGGACUCCGAAGAGGGGUCCUGGUUUCUCAGAGCUUUCCCCUGCAUGUCAAGCCCAGGUAAGGUUCUUCGCGUUGCAUCGAAUUAAUCCACAUCAUCCACCGCUUGUGCGGGUCCCCGUCAAUUCCUUUGAGUUUUAACCUUGCGGCCGUAGUCCCCAGGCGGAGCACUUAAUGCGUUAGCGGCGGCACCGCAGGGGUCAAUACCCGCGACACCUAGUGCUCAUCGUUUACAGCGUGGACUAC
rnacentral:misc_RNA from 1 species